UUGACACAUUGCGGAUGGAACUCAACUCUUGAGGGGAUAACCUCUGGUCUACCACUCCUUACAUGGCCUCUAUUUGCAGACCAAUUCUGCAAUGAGAAACUAGUUGUGCAGGUACUAAAAGCCGGGGUGAAAGCCGGGGUUGAGCAGCCUAUGAAAUGGGGAGAGGAGGAGAAGAUAGGAGUGUGUGUGGACAAAGAAGGAGUGAAGAAGGCAGUUGAAGAGUUAAUGGGUGAGAGUGAUGAUGCUAAGGAGAGAAGAAGAAGAUCCAAAGAGCUUGGAGUGUUAGCUCACAAGGCUGUGGAAGAAGGACGAGGCUCUUCUCAUUCUAAUAUCACUUCCCUCUUAGAAGACAUAAUGCAACUAGCACAAUCCAAUAAUUGAUUUAUGUCAUUGUUCAAAGAAAUACAAAUAUUUAUACAUUCUUUAUUUGCUUUAUUUGGAGGAUAGGAGACUUAGUCCAACACGUCCAUAAAGUUAGGUUAAACUUAUUUUAAACAUAUCUAAAAACUUUUAUGAACAACUAGAAUUUUUGGUGGAUUGUCAACCAAGUAAAUUAAAUAUAAAUCUGUCAUAGAAGUUUGAUAUCAUCAGCUUCCUUUUGUUUUUGUUCACUCAUUUUCUAUAUUGCUCCUUUUUGCAUUCACCUUUCUAAUCUUUGUUUGAUCUAAUUCUUAAAAGUCUUAUCAUCUCAUUAUCUAUAGAAUCUUUUUCAUAUAUGAUGCUAUAAUUAAAAUCAAAACACAGUUAUAUUAUAUCAUACAAAAUGCACUAAUAGGAUCUUGUAUAACAUUAUAUGAAGACACAUAUAUAACAAAUAUAUAUAUAUAUAUAUAUAUAUAUAUAUAUAUAUAUAGUAUGUUGAAAAUUGAAAAAAGAAUUUAAUAAAACACUGUUGUAUAACAUUGAAGUUGAUUUUUGCUGGCUCUGAUAGAUAUUGCCGUGGGGCAAGCUUGAUUGGAGUCUUUGUAAAGACUGAUGAUGGUUGUAUGGUUAGAGUAAAGGAAAGGUUUUUGCGUUAAUGAGGUUUGGAUUGUGUAGCAGUUGUUUCAUCACGUUUGUUUGAUCUCUGUAUAGGUGUGACCUGUUGAAGUUGAUCUUAAUUUCUUGGAACCAGUGGGAAAAGAGCUGAAGUUGCUUUGUGAAGGUAAAAAGACACGACAUGUUAUUGCUUUUGUGUCUGAAUUUGAUAUAUAUUCAUUUGUUUCAAUAUUAGUCAGUACCUCAGCGGAGAUUUUGAAGCUCUUGUUUUCUUGAGCUAAAGUGUGAUUAGAAGUUAUUAUAAGAGGGGUAUAAAAAUAAAAGUUCGCCCUAGCUCGUCUCUCCCUGCCACGGAAAUCGAAGCGCAGUUUCUUCUUAGUUUCGUCGACGCCGGCAGCGACCUAGCUCGCCGGCGUCGUCUUCGUCCGUCUCCCUUGAUGCCUCGUUUCAAGUCUGCUUCUAUUUCCAUCGCUGCUGCUGUUCCGUUCNNNNNNNNNNNNNNNNNNNNNNNNNNNNNNNNNNNNNNNNNNNNNNNNNNNNNNNNNNNNNNNNNNNNNNNNNNNNNNNNNNNNNNNNNNNNNNNNNNNNNNNNNNNNNNNNNNNNNNNNNNNNNNNNNNNNNNNNNNNNNNNNNNNNNNNNNNNNNNNNNNNNNNNNNNNNNNNNNNNNNNNNNNNNNNNNNNNNNNNNNNNNNNNNNNNNNNNNNNNNNNNNNNNNNNNNNNNNNNNNNNNNNNNNNNNNNNNNNNNNNNNNNNNNNNNNNNNNNNNNNNNNNNNNNNNNNNNNNNNNNNNNNNNNNNNNNNNNNNNNNNNNNNNNNNNNNNNNNNNNNNNNNNNNNNNNNNNNNNNNNNNNNNNNNNNNNNNNNNNNNNNNNNNNNNNNNNNNNNNNNNNNNNNNNNNNNNNNNNNNNNNNNNNNNNNNNNNNNNNNNNNNNNNNNNNNNNNNNNNNNNNNNNNNNNNNNNNNNNNNNNNCUGGUGCGUCAGAUCUGUAACUCAAGGCUCUGUGUUCGUAGAUCCUCGCCGGAAACCGCCUCCUCUUCCAUCCAAACCUUUUCCAUUUCAUUUCUCCACCGGUGCUGCGAAGACAUGUGCUAUCGACGAGACCCGCCACUGUGACGAAGUACUUAAGCUAUCUCUGACCUGUCCCGCCAGAUGUGCUGACUGCUCCGGGUCACCGCCAGAUGCUCCCCCGUUCUCAAUCAUUGGCCGUUUGGAUACCGUCGACGACUUUCCACAACCGCAUACAACAGUUCGUUGGCUUGUCUUUGGGUUGCUAAUGAUAACUUUUUGGGCCAGGCUCACUAUGAUUACUGCUGAUAUUAUCAGCUCACGGCUUAGCUCAGGUAAACACAGUUCAGAAAUGGACAUAGUUUCAUUGAUUUUGGCUAAGUCGCAAAGGAUUUUCGGUGGAUUCAUUGGUCCUUUUGAAUUGCGCAUAAUGAUAUAUCUUUUAGUUAUGAAGAGUUUUCCGUUGGAUUCAUCGGGAACAUCUUGGUUGCUUGUUCUACCCUCCUCUCAUAAGGAGUGGAUCUCAUACCUUCUUUCAAUGAAAGGAUAUACUUUCUCGGUUCUAUUGCUGAGUUCUGGCUUUAGUUUCUCUACUGGUUUGUCUUCUUGUGUAGUUGUCUCUACGGGACCUGAAGAGGCAACCAAGAUUACUUUUGGGUUUCUCGUAGGUGAGAGCUGACUUUCAACGUCACAUUAUGUGACUAUCUUUCAGCUGGCCGUGAAGGUUUUAUCGAUGCAUUCAAGCUUCGUCUCGAAUUCGCUGUCAACUUUUUAUGAAGGUUUAUCUCAUUUAACUUAUGUUGUUGUUUAUCUUUUUAAUUAAAGAGGAUGUUUAAUUCCCUCUAGUUAUUGUACUCAUGCAAGUUAAUGAUUAAUGAAAACAAUUUGUGUUCAAAAAAAAAAAAAGAGGGGUAUAUAGGUUUACAUUUUUCUGCUUCUUAUAAGUAGUUAUAAGAAAAAGUUAAAACACAUUGUCGCCUAGAUAUAGUAUUAUAUGGGGUAAUAUAUAUAGUAUAUUCUAUUAUGUGAUAUCUUCUCAAUUUGCAUUGUUUUAACCAUUCAUUCUUGCAUAUGUUGACCAUUUAGGAUAGCAUUUAGAUAUGUUUAGGUUGCAUUGCAUUACAUAUGUCCUUAUCAGGUGAUGGAGAUUUCAAAUGGUGACUUUGGAGCAUUUAGAGAUGGUUUGGAGGCAAAAAGGGGUGAUUCUCGAGAAGGAGACGCAUUGUUCAAGUGUCCCAGCGGCAUAAGGACGUCCCAGCGGCCUUUUGGCCCCUCAAGAAGCCGCUGCAAGCGCUGAGAAACGGAGACAAAGUGUGGGAGCGGCCUUACGCAGCGGUGUACCGAAGCCGCUGGAGACGCUCGCGAGAUGAAGACUCAAGAAAUGGAGACCAAGUGCGGGAGCGGCCUGACGCAGCGGUGUGACGAGACCGCUGGAAAAAUACCCCGUUCCCUGCCGCGUUCGUACUUGUCGCAGCGGUGUGAUGACGAAGCAAGGAAGCCGCCGCGAGUGUCCCAGCGGCUAGGCGGAACGGUUUCACGUGGCCGCUGCGAGUCAAGAAAGUCAACAUUUUCCAUGUUUGACCAAAUAAUUACCAAUUUGUGUUUUGGUUAACCCAGGUUUGUUGGGUUAAACCAAGUUCGACUUUAAGCUACUAUAAAGGUCCUUCAGACCUAAUUGUAGGACCUUAUCUUGUUUUCUAUCUAAUCACAAAAGAACUUUUAGGUGAAAGAUCCUAUCUUGAUCAUUUCUCUCUUGUGAUUGCUUGAUUAUCUUGAUCUCUUAUCAUGAUUAGCACCAAAUCAUCUUUGAUUCUUGGGCUCAUCAUGGAGAGUAGUGAGUAGUUAUCUUUGGAUUCAUGGAUUAGGGAGAUUAAGGGUGAUUAAGCUAGAUCUAAGGUGUUUAGGUAUAGAUCAAUCUUAUUCCUUGCUAGUAGAGGGCUUUUAAUGCAAUUUUAGAGUUGGCCUCUCUAAAGUUGAGCUCUAGGCAUUUCAUACCCGUAAGGUGUUUGAUGAAAUGCCUGAACCAACUCUCCUAAGCUUUUAACAUCCUUUACCAAAGGGAUUUGUUGUUAAAUAUGUUAAGAUGGCUAGUAGACUUGAGAUUAAUGAUUACUUAGGUCACAUUCAACCAAAAGAAUUUGAUGCUUGAGUUAUCUAGGUAAAUGAGCAUUCAUCUAGGGAUAGAGUUUGCUUAGGAUUGUGUCUAGGCCUAAGGUAGAUAUAGAUUGGUUAAAAGUUGACACCUUUAGGUUGAAUCUUGAUCACCCAAGAUCAAUUUCCAUAGCCCAUGAGUUCUCCCUUCUUAUAAGAAAGAAAGUUUUGUCCUUUAUUGCAUUUUAGGUAGUACGUAAUCUAGUUUCAAAUCAUCUCAAAAACUGGUAGCACUUAGAUUAAGCAUGGUCUUGUAUUCCCUUUGCAUCAUAAUCACUUAGGACUGGUUUGACAUCCUAUAUAUUACAACAUUUGAUUAGGGGCCUUGAAACACCUAUCAUCAUUAUGUAAUAUACUAAAUUAACCAGAGGUGGAGGAAACGUUGGAAAGAAAGCUGUUGAGAAAAGCUACUCUUCUGUUGCCAUCUGCUCGUAUGAACGACUACACAACUCAUGUUAGUGUUAGCGUUGAUUGAUUAUUUGGAUGAGUCAGUGCAACUAACUGCUGUGUCAUGUUUAUUGAUGGUAAUACUCAGAACCCAUUACACCUGGUUACUGCCAAUAUAGAUCCAUAGUGGUGGAAUGUGUUUUAUGUUUUCAUCUUAUAAGGAGUUUGUGACUAGUGUGGUCAUUUCCAUUACCAAACUCGGGAAAGGAACAUUCACACGAAAGUGUUGUAAGCUCUGGACCUUUGUUCUUUUUUUGUUGAUUGUGAUUUUGUGGCUGUCUUGACUCUUGAAAGAGUCCAAAGUUGGAUUUAUCUUCUUGACUGUUUAUAUUGGAUUGGAGUUCAAUCGAUCUUUAAAGUUUCAAACACUUCUCUUUGGGGUUAAAUUAUUAAUUUAGGUGCCUUUAUUGUAACAAUUCUUAAGGAGUUACAGAACAUGUAGCUAUCAUGCAACAAGCCUCCAAGUUGUUGUUUUUGUGUCUGAAUUAUCUUCUUUGUGUAAGGGAAAGUCAUUAAACGAUGCAAGAUAGGGUCACAAAGGGACAAGCUAUGGAUUAGCUAAGAAUGGCUUGUAGCGAUACACAAUCUGUGGACUGUUUUGGAUGUGUUUGACAAGUAAAAUCUCAUUUACGUCAUGUAUUACGUCUUCUGUUCAGUUUUGUUUUUUGCUCUCCACGCAUCUUUGUUCUAUAUAAGCUCUCUCUCACAAAUAUAAUCCAGAACCAAGACAAAACUUGAGAGUUUAUCAUCAGCAUGGGUUCCGAAACAGCUAAAAAGUCUUGUCCUCUUCACUUUGUUCUCUUCCCUUUCAUGGCUCAAGGCCACAUGAUUCCCAUGGUCGAUAUCGCAAGGCUCUUGGCUCAGCGCGGUGUGACCAUCACAAUUGUCACUACACCUUACAAUGCAGGGAGGUUCAAGAAUGUUCUAAGCCGCGCCAUUGAGUCUGGCUUGCCCAUCAAAGUAGUGCAUGUGAAGUUUCCUUCUCAAGAAGCUGGUAUACCAGAGGGAAAAGAGAAUAUAGAUAUGCUUGACUCCAUAGAGCUGAUGAUACCUUUCUUUAAAGCGGUUAACAUGCUCGAAGAACCGGUUCAGAAGCUCAUGGAAGAGAUGAGCCCUCCACCAAGCUGCUUAAUCUCUGACAUGUGUUUGUUUUAUACAAGCAAACUCGCCAAGACGUUCAAUAUACCAAAGAUCCUCUUCCACGGCAUGUGCUGCUUUUGUCUUCUCUGUAUGCAUAUUUUACGCGAAAAUCUUGAGAUCUUGGAGAAUUUGGAGUCAGACAAAGAGUACUUCACCGUUCCUUAUUUUCCUGACAAAGUUGAAUUCACAAGACCUCAAGUUCCUGUUGAAACAUAUGUUCCUGGAGAGUGGAAGGAGUUCUUGGAUGGAAUUAAAGAAGCUGAUAAGACAUCCUAUGGAGUGGUGGUCAACACAUUUCAAGAACUGGAGCCUGCUUAUGUCAAAGACUACAAGGAAGCAAGGUCAGGUAAAGCAUGGUCCAUUGGACCUGUUUCCUUGUGCAACAAGGUGGGAGAAGAUAAAGCUGAGAGAGGAAAUAAAUCAGAUAUUGAUAAAGAUGAGUGCCUUAAAUGGCUUGAUUCUAAGGAAGGUGGUUCUGUGCUCUACGUUUGUCUAGGAAGUGUCUGCAAUCUUCCUCUGUCUCAGCUCAAGGAGCUUGGCCUAGGCCUAGAAGAAUCUCAAAGACCUUUCGUUUGGGUCAUAAGAGGUUGGGAUAAGUAUAAAGAGCUUGCUGUGUGGAUCUUGGAGAGCGGUUUUGAUGAAAGGGUGAAAGAGAGAGGGCUUCUCAUUAAAGGAUGGGCACCUCAAGUGCUUAUCCUUUCACACCCUUCUGUUGGAGGAUUCUUGACACACUGCGGAUGGAACUCAACUCUUGAGGGGAUAACCUUUGGUCUCCCACUUCUUACAUGGCCGCUAUUUGCUGACCAAUUCUGUAAUGAGAAAUUAGUGGUGGAGGUGCUAAAAGCUGGUGUGAAAGCCGGGGUUGAGCAGCCUAUGAAAUGGGGAGAGGAGGAGAAGAUAGGAGUGUUGGUGGACAAAGAAGGAGUGAAGAAGGCAGUUGAAGAGUUAAUGGGUGAGAGUGAUGAUGCUAAGGAGAGAAGAAGAAGAGCCAAAGAGCUUGGAGUGUUAGCUCACAAGGCUGUGGAAGAAGGAGGCUCUUCUCAUUCUAAUAUCACAUUACUCUUAGAAGACAUAAUGCAACUAGCACAAUCCAAUAAUUGAUUUAUGUCAUUGUUAAAAGAAAUAGACGUUUAUGUUACGAAAGUAAACCAAAGCGGCCACCGUAAUGUUUGAAAUAAUUAAAGAUGUGGGUCCCGCUGCACUAUUUGCACAGUAAAUUUUCUUCUAUAUAUACGAACGUUUGCGUUCGUUUAUAAAACACACCUAAAAAACACUUCUCUUCUAUUCUCUCUCUGUAUCAGUGUUAUUUCUUUCUAUGGGUAUAAAAUUUUGCCCUUAUUUAAAUUCCUGCGAUACAAAUAAAUUUCAGUUCUUUUUAUAACACGUUAUCAACACGAUCACUCUGCGAUUCGGUAAAAUUUAUUUGUAUCCUUUAUACCCUGUUAUAAUGGUCGGUAUACCGCCUCUACUAUUAUUUAUAUCAUGUUAUAAUGGCCGGAAUACCGCCUAUAUUAUUUAAUAAUAAUUUAAUUAAUUUAAUGGUCGGCCGAGCCGCCUUAUAUCCUGUUUAUUAUUUAUUGGUCGGCCGAGCCGCCUUAUAUUCUGUUUAUUAUUAAUUGGUCGGCCGAGCCGCCGUAUAAUUUAUUUAUUAUUCUGCAUUGAUCGGCUGAGCCGUCGCAUGAUUUGUUGUCAUAUAACAUAAAUAUUUCAUUGUCAUAUUUUUUUCACUUUUAUGAAAUUUUAUAGAUUUGAUUGACCGUUUAAUACGAUAUUUUCAGACUAAUUUUUGGUGCACUCGAUUUAACCCCAACGGUCACAAAGAAAGUUUUUCAAAAAUUUCCCCUUUCUCCAACGGUCAUGAACAGUGUUUUCAUCUAUUAAUACAACUCAUUUUCACUCCAUUUCAUCAUCCAAAACAUUUCAUCUUCUCUUAAAAAAAAAAAAAAAAAAAAUUCAAUUCGCUCUCCUCCGAUUUUUCAUUUCAAGAAAGAUGAUUCGCGCACUUUUGUUUUUAUGUGCCAUUUUUAUUUGUGUUUCUAUUUAUGCUUUAUUCGUUGGAGAAUUUACCCCGAGUGAAUUUAAGAUGAAUAUCGGUUUAAUUUUCUUUACAUCGCUUCUCCUUGUAAUUGCUUGCAUGAUUAAUGUAAACAGUUUCUUUUAAUAUUAAUAAUAUUCUAAUAAUUUUUAUUUAUGUGUUUUGGAAAUACAAAUGGCAAAAAUCGAGAAACUUCAGUUUCCGGCAUUGGAAGUAACUGGGACAAACUACACGGCAUGGGUUACAAACAUGGAGCUUCAUCUAGAUUCCGAGGAAAUACUCGGAACAAUAAAAGACGGCAAUAUAUCAACCUCUCAUGAAAAGGCUAAGGCCGUGAUAUUUCUGAGAAGACAUCUAGAUGAAAAUCUUACGCAUGAUUAUGCAAGAACCAAAGAUCCCUUAGAUCUUUGGAAAGCUCUGAAGGAGAGGUUUGAUAACCAAAAGAAAAUUACUCUCCCCCAUGCACUCGAUGAGUGGAAAAAUCUACGAUUUCAAGAUUUUGAAAAAGUGGAAACGUAGAAUUCCGCUAUAUUGAGAAUAGCGGCGCAAUUAGAUUAUUGCGGUAAGCCUGUCUCGGAAGCAGAAAUGCUCGAGAAAACUUACCAAACGUUCCACAAAAAUCAUUAUGUUCUACAAGAACAAUAUAGAAAUUGUGGGUAUACGAGGUUCUCUGAACUCGCUGUGGCGCUUAUAAUAGCGGAGAGAAAUAAUGAACUCCUCAUUAAAAACCACAAUGCCCGACCCACGGGAACCAAAGCAUUUCCUGAGGCAAAUGCAACGGAUAUAAAAAAUCCGGAAAAAGGAAAUUAUUCCUAUCGUGGGCGUGGUCGUGGCCGUAGUCACAAUCGUGGUUUUGGUCGUGGUCGUGGUUAUCGAUUUAACCGCAACCAUGAAAGGAGUAACAACCCAAGAGGAAGAGGAUCCAACACAUGGAAUCGAUCUGAUCGGGUAAAAGGGAAAGAAACCCAAGAAAACCCUACUCAUAAAUAUGAGAACGUAUGUUACAGAUGUGGAUCGAAGGGACACUGGUCUCAAGUAUGUCGAACUCCUCGGCAUCUAUGCCAAUUGUACCAAGAAUCUAUUAAAGGCAAGGCAAAGGAAGUAAAUCUCAAUGAACACCUUGUGGGUACAACAUCGACAUACCUCAAAUCCUCUGACUUUAUGGGAGAUUUCGACGAGGCCACUCAUCAAAAUAAUUGAAGUGCUUGUACUGAUCAAGCUUAAUAAUGCCUAGUGAUGCCAUAAAAUAUUAUGUAUUUCACUUUUCAAAAUAAUGUUGUAUUUCAAAAUAUCUAAUGUAUAAUUAUUGUGUACUUGUUAUUGAUGCAUAAUAUGUUUACUUAUGAAAGUUUAUUUUCUUUAUUAAUAUUAACUGUGUGUUACAGAAAUGGAUAAGAAAGCAAAUGGAACAACAACUAAACAAAUUGGUAGAGAAGUUUGCAUACCAGAUAGUGGCACAACGCACACUAUACUGAAGGAUAAGAGAUAUUUCUCUACUUUAAAGUCAGUAAAAAUGACUAUAAACACAAUAUCAGGUCCUACAGACCUGAUCGAAGGAAUUGGCAAGGCGAACUUUAUGUUGCCUAAUGGAACUAAGUUUUCCAUAGAUAAUGCCUUAUAUUCUCCAAAUUCUAAGAGAAAUUUGUUGAGUUUCAAAGAUAUAUACCGUCAAGGGUAUAACACUCAGUCUGCAACUGAGAAUGGAAAGAAGUAUUUGUAUAUAACUUCUGAAAAAUCAGGCAAAGGCCUUGUACUGGAAAAAUUUCCAGAACUUCCUUCUGGAUUGCAUCACACUUAUAUUGAUGCUAUAGAAUCACAUCUUGUGAUAAAAAGAAAUCCAGAAGAUGUUACAUUAUGGCAUGAUCGCCUUGGUCAUCCAGGCACUACAAUGAUGCGAAAAAUCAUUGAAAGCUCACAUGGUCAUUCAAUAAAAACCCAAGAUAUAUACCAAAGUAAUAAAAUGACAUGUGAUGCGUGUGCUCUUGGGAAAUUAAUCAUAAGACCAUCACCAACCAAAGUUGACAAAGAAUCACCAAAGUUUUUGGAAAGAAUCCAAGGUGAUAUUUGUGGACCAAUACAUCCACCGUGUGGACCAUUCUACUACUUUAUGGUAUUAAUCGAUGCAUCGAGUAGAUGGUCACAUGUUUGUUUCUUAUCAUCUCGAAAUAUGGCAUUUGCGAGAUUUCUAACUCAGAUAAUCAAAUUAAGAGCACAGUUCUCAGAUUAUCCAAUUAAAAGAGUUAGAUUAGAUAACGCUGGUGAAUUCACAUCCCAAGCUUUUAAUGAUUAUUGUAUGGUAUCAGGGAUUGAAGUAGAGCAUUCUGUUGCUCAUGUUCAUACACAAAAUGGUUUGGCAGAAUCAUUAAAUUAAACGGCUGCAACUAAUUGCAAGGCCAUUGAUCAUGAGAUCAAAACUCCCAACCUCUGUAUGGGGACAUGCUAUUUUGCAUGCAGAAGCACUAAUUCGGAUAAGACCAAGUGCAUACCAUAGAUAUUCCCCAUUACAGUUAGCAUUUGGAAAAGAACCAAAUAUCUCUCAUCUAAAAAUCUUUGGUUGUGCGGUUUAUAUUCCAAUAGCACCACCACAACGUACAAAGAUGGGACCGCAAAGACGGUUGGGAAUAUAUAUUGGCUAUGAUUCUCCAUCAAUAAUAAGAUACCUAGAACCACAAACUGGUGAUGUGUUUACGGCACGAUUUGCCGAUUGUCAUUUCAAUGAGAAAGAAUUCCCAACUCUAGGGGGAGACAAUAAACAAGUAGGAAAAGAGAUCAAAUGGAGUGUACCAUCGUUAUUACACCUUGAUCCUCCUACGAAACAGUCAGAACUAGAAGUUCGACGUAUCAUGCAUUUACAAAAUAUAGCAAAUCAGCUACCUGAUGCAUUUGCUGAUACCAAAAUGGUAACUAAAUCACAUAUACCCGCUGCAAAUACUCCUGCUCGUAUUGAAAUACCACAAAAUGGUGGAACGGCAGUUGAUACACGUGAAUCAGGAACACGUUUAAAGCGCGGUAGACCUAUUGGUUCAAAGGAUAAACUCCCUAGAAAACGUAAGGAAUGUGAAAAGCAUGAUACUCCCAAAAUAGCGGAAAAUAUUUUGGAAGAAGCAAAUUGUGAAUCGAACGACAAUAUAGAGCAUCAUGAAUCUGAUGGAAAUCACGAGAUUUCUAUCAAUUACAUCCAUAAUGGAAUGAUAUGGAAACGAAAUGAGAUUGAUGAUAUUGAUGACGUUUUCUCAUACCUUUUAGCAAAGGAAAUAAAUGAAGAAAACGAAGAUCCAGAACCAAAGUCUGUAUAUGAAUGUCAAAAGAGACAUGACUGGAUAAAAUGGAAAGAUGCAAUUCAAGUCGAAUUAGAUUCGCUUAACAAACGAAAUGUAUUCGGACCUAUUGUGCUCACACCCAAAGAUGUAAAACCUGUUGGGUACAGAUGGGUGUUUGUCCGAAAAAGAAACGAGAAAAACGAGAUUACAAGAUACAAAGCUCGUCUCGUAGCCCAAGGUUUCUCUCAAAGGCCAGGAAUUGAUUAUGAGGAAACUUAUUCUCCUGUUAUGGACGCAAUCACAUUUAGAUUCCUGAUGAGCCUAGCGGCCAAUGAAAAUUUAGAAAUGCGUCUCAUGGAUGUCGUUACGGCAUAUUUAUAUGGAUUAUUAGAUACUGAUAUCUAUAUGAGAAUCCCAGAUGGAUUUAAAAUGCCAGAAAUGUUAAGUUCCAGACCUAAAGAGUUAUGUGCAAUAAAAUUGCAAAGAUCAUUAUAUGGAUUAAAACAAUCUGGACGAAUGUGGUAUAAUCGUCUCAGCGAACACUUAACAAAAGAAGGAUACACGAAUGAUCCUAUAUGCCCUUGUGUUUUCAUAAAGAAAACAACAUCCGGAUUUGUGAUAAUAGCGGUGUACGUUGAUGAUCUUAAUAUUAUUGGAACUCAAAACGAAAUCCAAAAGGCAUCAAACUAUCUGAAAGGAGAAUUUGAGAUGAAAGAUCUCGGGCAGACAAAAUAUUGUCUAGGAUUACAAAUUGAGCAUUCUCGAAAGGGUAUAUUUGUACACCAGUCUACAUAUACCAAACGAGUAUUGAAACGCUUUAACAUGGAUAAAGCAACUCCUCUUAGCACCCCGAUGGUCGUUAGAUCACUUAAUGUUGAAAAUGAUCCGUUUCGACCAUCUGAGGAAAAUGAAGAAAUACUUGGCCCUGAAACUCCAUACUUAAGUGCAAUUGGAGCUCUUAUGUAUCUUGCAAAUUGUACUCGACCUGACAUAUCUUUUGCCAUUAAUCUUUUAGCGAGAUUCAGUUCGUCUCCUACGCGAAGACAUUGGAAUGGAAUUAAACAUGUCUUUCGUUACCUUCAAGGAACAACUGAUUUAGGCUUGUUUUAUCCUAAAAGUUCAAAAAGUCAAAUGAUUGGUUUUGCAGAUGCAGGUUAUUUGUCAGAUCCACACAAAGCUCGAUCCCAGACAGGAUAUGUUUUUACAAUUGGAGGUACCGCCAUAUCUUGGCGUUCUCAGAAGCAGACACUUGUUGCUACUUCUUCAAAUCACGCUGAGAUCAUUGCACUCCAUGAAGCAAGUAGAGAAUGUGUAUGGCUAAGGUCAAUAAGCCGACACAUCUGUUCAAGCAGUGGGAUUGACGAAAAUACGGAGCCAACUAUUCUGUAUGAAGAUAACGCGGCAUGUGUUGCUCAAACGAAGGAAGGAUAUAUCAAAAGCGAUAGAACCAAACAUAUACCUCCGAAGUUCUUCUCAUACACUCAAGAGCUCGAGAAGAAUAAAGAGAUUGAAAUAAGAUAUGUUCGAUCAUGCGACAAUGCAGCCGACCUCUUCACAAAAUCACUCCCUACCUCGGUAUUCAGAAAAUACAUCCAUAACAUUGGGAUGCGCCAUCAGAAGGAUCUAUGACUGUUCAUUCGAGGGGGAGCUUACGUAGUUGUACUCUUUUUACCUUACUAUGGUUUUUCCCAUUGGGUUUUCCUGGAAAGGUUUUUAACGAGGCAACAAAGACGUUAAGCGAGAGCGGAUAGUGACACCGGCCCCCAAGGGGGAGUGUUACGAAAGUAAACAAUCACAUUACUCUUAGAAGACAUAAUGCAACUAGCACAAUCCAAUAAUUGAUUUAUG
rnacentral:lncRNA from 1 species